UUUAGAUCUUAAGGGGAUUAAAACUAUAACCGACUUUGGUCUUGUCUCCAUCUUUAAGCAGCUUUUGUGGGUUAAUAGAAGCAAUUUCCCCCUUGAGUGAGCCAUGCACAGGCACUGGAAUUGGUUACUUCUAAGUAGCGGCAGACGAACGCCAGUGUACGGAAUGUGUGAUGUUAAUCCUCUCCGCUCCGGCACAGAAGAAAUCCAAUUUCCAAACAGUUCUGGGGGAAGAAAGACUGGUUCUGAGGAAACAACCACGAAACAAGCCGCUGCAGUCAACAGUUUAAACACCCGAUGUAAAAUGUGCAAGCUUCUGGACAAGAGCCUCUCUCUGAUAGGCUACAAAAUAUGUUAAUGGGAGUUGAUGAGAACUGGAUGCAGAAAAACCAUUACAUCCUCAACUGUUGGCUGAAGGAAAAUCCUUUUCCUUGACAAGAUCUGAGUAAAUGCUUGCUCUUAGCAAAAGAACACGUCAUGCUUCAAAGUGACCAGUCCGUGCGCUUACUGUUUGACUAAUCCACUGGCUUCCCCUGUUUUGGGAUGGUUACAGAAAAGCCGGUUUUGGAAAGUUUCUCUUUGGCUCUAAUACUUGGCAAACGAGCUGAGUGUCCUCUGCUCUUCCUUGAGUUAGUUAUAAAGCUGUUUGUCAUCUCGAGUAUCCGGAACACCUGCUUUUCCAAGGACUGCUGGCUCAGGAAAAGAAACAUAAGUUAUUUUUAUGAAAUAACUCACCGGCUCAGGAGUUUAAAAAACUCUAUCUGAGAUGGUGUGGUUUUCUUUUUUUUUCCCCCUCAUGAUCAAAUAUGGUAUUUUAAAAGCCAGAAAUUUCCAUUUCCCCUGAAUUUCCUCUUGAGCGAUAAAUCACUGUGAAAUAAGCGACAGGCCAAUUGGACAACCCGGAGGAAAGAGUGUGCUUUUGUUCAUAACUCUAUACCCAGUAGAAGAAAGACACAAGCAGCUGGGGCUCACAACCCAUGGAGAAAUCUGGAAAGAAACUAUUAAAAUGCAAGGCAGGAAAGCCUUAAAACAUUUAGAACUCUCUCCGUCUUUGAGUGCAGUACAGGACAGUGAAAUCCUAUGUCCUGUGUCCAGCUGCCUGCCUGCGGUGUGGCUCUCAUCCAGGUUUUCCCUUCUCUCCCACUCUAUUUCUUGACUACUUGAAGUGCUUCUUCUACCACAAAGAUGGACACAUAAGCAAGACUGGUUUAAUCAGAGUCUCAUCCUCAUGACCAUUAUGAGGUCAUGGGGAAAGGGGAGUGCUGGGGAGGAAAGACAUUAUUUCCUGCUCUCUCAGGUUUGUGAGGUCAUAACAGGAUGAAACAACAACAACAAAAACAAACAAACAAACAAACAAAAAAAAAAA
rnacentral:sRNA from 1 species